rnacentral:rRNA from 1 species
UACAGAGGGCCCAAGCGUUGUUCGGAUUCACUGGGCGUAAAGGGUGCGUAGGCGGUCGGGUAAGUCUGAUGUGAAAUCUCACAGCUUAACUGUGAAACUGCAUUGGAUACUAUCCGGCUCGAGGAAUGGAGGGGAGACUGGAAUACUUGGUGUAGCAGUGAAAUGCGUAGAUAUCAAGUGGAACACCAGUGGCGAAGGCGAGUCUCUGGACAUUUCCUGACGCUGAGGCACGAAAGCCAGGGGAGCAAACGGG